UCUCCGUAGGUGAACCUGCGGAGGGAUCAUUACCGAGUGAGGGUUCCGGCCCGACCUCCAACCCUUUGUGAAUUCGACCCAGUUGCCUCGGGGGCGACCCGGCCUUCGGGCGUCGGGGCCCCGGGUGGACCAUUCAAACACUGCAUCUUUGCGUCUGAGUACACGAUUGAAUCAAUCAAAACUUUCAACAACGGAUCUCUUGGUUCUGGCAUCGAUGAAGAACGCAGC
rnacentral:misc_RNA from 1 species